UGGGAAGUGAUGAUGCCUGUGACUGCUGACAAGACACUGAUUUCUGUCGUAUUCGUACUGGCUGAUCCCA
ensembl:snoRNA Gm25506 predicted gene, 25506